GGGGGAUAUUGCGCAAUGGGGGCAACCCUGACGCAGCAACGCCGCGUGAAGGAUGAAGGUUUUCGGAUUGUAAACUUCUUUUAUUAAGGACGAAAAAUGACGGUACUUAAUGAAUAAGCUCCGGCUAACUACGUGCCAGCAGCCGCGGUAAUACGUAGGGAGCAAGCGUUGUCCGGAUUUACUGGGUGUAAAGGGUGCGUAGGCGGCUUUGCAAGUCAGAUGUGAAAUCUAUGGGCUCAACCCACAAACUGCAUUUGAAACUGUAGAGCUUGAGUGAAGUAGAGGCAGGCGGAAUUCCCCGUGUAGCGGUGAAAUGCGUAGAGAUGGGGAGGAACACCAGUGGCGAAGGCGGCCUGCUGGGCUUUAACUGACGCUGAGGCACGAAAGCGUGGGUAGCAAACAGGAUUAGAUACCCUGGUAGUCCACGCUGUAAACGAUGAUUACUAGGUGUGGGGGGUCUGACCCCUUCCGUGCCGGAGUUAACACAAUAAGUAAUCCACCUGGGGAGUACGGCCGCAAGGUUGAAACUCAAAGGAAUUGACGGGGGCCCGCACAAGCAGUGGAGUAUGUGGUUUAAUUCGAAGCAACGCGAAGAACCUUACCAGGUCUUGACAUCCAACUAACGAAGUAGAGAUACAUUAGGUGCCCUUCGGGGAAAGUUGAGACAGGUGGUGCAUGGUUGUCGUCAGCUCGUGUCGUGAGAUGUUGGGUUAAGUCCCGCAACGAGCGCAACCCUUGCUAUUAGUUGCUACGCAAGAGCACUCUAAUAGGACUGCCGUUGACAAAACGGAGGAAGGUGGGGACGACGUCAAAUCAUCAUGCCCCUUAUGACCUGGGCUACACACGUACUACAAUGGAUGUUAACAGAGGGAAGCAAGACAGCGAUGUGGAGCAAACCCCUAAAAACAUUCUCAGUUCAGAUUGCAGGCUGCAACCCACCUGCAUGAAGAUGGAAUUGCUAGUAAUCGCGGAUCAGCAUGCCGCGGUGAAUACGUUCCCG
rnacentral:rRNA from 1 species